rnacentral:rRNA from 1 species
GUGGGGAAUAUUGCACAAUGGGCGAAAGCCUGAUGCAGCAACGCCGCGUGAGUGAUGAAGGCCUUCGGGUCGUAAAGCUCUUUGAUCAGGGAUGAUAAUGACAGUACCUGAAAAACAAGCCACGGCUAACUACGUGCCAGCAGCCGCGGUAAUACGUAGGUGGCGAGCGUUGUCCGGAAUUACUGGGCGUAAAGGAUGCGUAGGUGGAUAUUUAAGUGGGAUGUGAAAUCCCCGGGCUCAACCCGGGAACUGCAUUCCAAACUGGGUAUCUAGAGUGCAGGAGAGGAAAGCGGAAUUCCUAGUGUAGCGGUGAAAUGCGUAGAUAUUAGGAGGAACACCAGUGGCGAAGGCGGCUUUCUGGACUGUAACUGACACUGAGGCAUGAAAGCGUGGGUAGCAAACAGGAUUAGAAACCCCGGUAGUCC